UAUGACAGGAAAAGGUGGUUAAUGUAGGGGCGAACCCCUGUGUUCGCCCUUUGGGGUUGGGUUAUCCGAACGCAAAUUUCGCAAAUGGCGCGAAUAACCGCCUUUGUCAUUCCGAACACCGUGAGGAAUCCCGCGGAGUAAAAGAAAGAGAUUCUUCGCUUACGCUCUGAAUGACAAAUUAAUUUCGUCCAUGGGCCUCGGGCGGUGAGCCGACGGAGCAGCGAGCAGGGCGAAAGAAAAUCAGGCUGUCCGAAGCGAAGCGAGUUACCUGAUUUUCCGACCUGCAAGCGUCGCGAAGGCGUGUGAAGCGCACGAAGCCUUGACCUUUUGGUUACAGUUACCUGAUUUUCCGACCUGCAAGCGUCGCGAAGGCGUGUGAAGCGCACGAAGCCUUGACCUUUUGGUUACUUUUGGGUCAAGCCAAAAGUAACGGAAAAGAAAUUAUGUCAGGCUUUCAGCCCUCAAAGCAAGGUAUGGGCGUGGAUACCCCACCCUUACAGGAUGGGGCUGAAAUAUACCGGGCUUUCAGCCCUUGGGCCUCGGGCGAGCUAACCCCUUCGGGGCGUUGAGGUGUUUAAAAGAAACGAAUAGUGACUAACGAAAAAUGAAUAUUAACAUCAAAUUGUAGAAAACA
rnacentral:sRNA from 1 species